AGCGGCGGACGGGUGAGUAACACGUGGGUAACCUGCCCAAGAGACUGGGAUAACACCUGGAAACAGAUGCUAAUACCGGAUAACAACACUAGACGCAUGUCUAGAGUUUGAAAGAUGGUUCUGCUAUCACUCUUGGAUGGACCUGCGGUGCAUUAGCUAGUUGGUAAGGUAACGGCUUACCAAGGCAAUGAUACAUAGCCGAGUUGAGAGACUGAUCGGCCACAUUGGGACUGAGACACGGCCCAAACUCCUACGGGAGGCAGCAGUAGGGAAUCUUCCACAAUGGACGAAAGCCUGAUGGAGCAACGCCGCGUGAGUGAAGAAGGGUUUCGGCUCGUAAAGCUCUGUUGGUAGUGAAGAAAGAUAGAGGUAGUAACUGGCCUUUAUUUGACGGUAAUUACUUAGAAGGUCACGGCUAACUACGUGCCAGCAGCCGCGGUAAUACGUAGGUGGCAAGCGUUGUCCGGAUUUAUUGGGCGUAAAGCGAGUGCAGGCGGUUCAAUAAGUCUGAUGUGAAAGCCUUCGGCUCAACCGGAGAAUUGCAUCAGAAACUGUUGAACUUGAGUGCAGAAGAGGAGAGUGGAACUCCAUGUGUAGCGGUGGAAUGCGUAGAUAUAUGGAAGAACACCAGUGGCGAAGGCGGCUCUCUGGUCUGCAACAGACGCUGAGGCUCGAAAGCAUGGGUAGCGAACAGGAUUAGAUACCCUGGUAGUCCAUGCCGUAAACGAUGAGUGCUAAGUGU
rnacentral:rRNA from 1 species